UGUACGCGAGGAGACGACAGUGAGCGGUGGGACGCAGCGCUCCACCAAUCCUUGUUGCUCUCUCUGAUUGCCUGCUGACAGGCCCAUUUUCAUGCUGCAUGAUGGCCACUGCUUUCUAAAGGCUUCAGCAGGGCCAGGCUGAGAGCAACCUGAUGUGGCGCUUGUCAAGGAAGUCGUAAUAGAAUUUCAUGUGGAAGGUCAUUCCAUCGAUGUGGAGUACUCCAAUGUCCUUGAAGACAACGGCAACGUUCUCCCCAUUCUUCAGGCAGCCAGAGAGCAGGGACACGGUGCUUUGGAUGCAAGCCUGCGCUGUCUGCCAGGUCACAGAGGCAGCUGCGGCCACCUCGCUGCUCUUGAGCGGCUCCAGCUUCCUAUGGGCUGAAAAAUGGGAGGGACGGAGUUGAUGAUACGGUUGGUUUUCCGCAGUGCUUCCCUGGAACUGCUUCUUGUGGCCAUCAGCCAGAACGGCCCCAUGUUUGGCUGGGCUCCUCCGAGGGGGAGGUUUGCUUUGGAGAAUGGAGGCGGUGGCCCUGUUGGCCCUGUGCGUGAAGCCAGCAAAGCUUUAAUCCUCCCUCCUACCUGGCAGGGACUCCCUGCGGGGCUUGAGGUGGUGCACGGCUAUGAGGUUUCCAGACAAGUGAAAGACGG
ensembl:lncRNA